rnacentral:misc_RNA from 1 species
GGAGUUUGGAUCUGAGAUUCACAUACUCGUAAACUCCGCCGGGAUUCUCGAUUCGAAGUACCCGACUUUGGCUGGAACCGCCGUGGAGGAUUGGGAUGAGGCGUUUCGAGUGAAUUGCAGAGGCGCGUUUUUGGUCUGUAAAGAGGCGUCGAAUCGGCUCAGGCGCGGCGGCGGAGGGCGGAUUGUGUUGAUUACGACGUCGAUAGUUGGGUCUCUGCCGCCAGGGUACGGUGCCUAUGCGGCGUCGAAGGCGGCGGUGGAGGCCAUGGCGAAGACUGCAGCGAAAGAGCUUAAGGGGACUGGAAUUACGGUCAACUGCGUGGCGCCGGGACCGGUGGCGACGGAGCUUUUUUACGCCGGAAAAUCAGAGGAUACGGUGGCGAAGAUGGCGGAGGCCUGCCCGCUAGGGCGCCUCGGUCAGCCCGACGACGUGGCGAAAGUGGUGGGAUUUUUGGCUACU